AGCCGAAGUCUGACUGAGCCACCCAGGCGCCCCUAUCAACAGAAAAAUUUUAGAGUCUUCAAAAUUCCACGACCUGUUGGGAUUUAUUCUGACUGCAGUCGCGUAUGUGCUUGUCCCCAGCUCCACCCCCACCCGUUCCAGGGAAGGACAUUGACUUUCAUCCUGGUGAGGGAACCGCUCCUUGUGAGACCCCAUUGGCUGUGAUUUGGGUGGGCUGAUCUGUCCCAUCCUUCUCAGGGUGAUCUCCCCAUCAUGCCCAUCCAAGCUCUCCUUGGGAUCUGUUCCUGAGAAGUCCUACGUGUACAUAAAGCUCUUCUACUGCAUAACAAAAUACUACGAUUGUCUCAUGAAAACCACCCAUGUGAUUGCGCCGUGAGUUGAGCCAGUGACUUUUUUCAUAGAAUACCAUUUUGACUGAAAAGAAUGACUGACUGGCAGACUGUGGUUAUUCAGACUUGGUGUGGGGCAGACGUUUCCUCAGAAAUGAACGAAGUGAGCUUGCCAUUUCAAGGAAAACAAAUGGUAGUUUUGUUGUCAACAAUCAAAUUUGAGCUCUGAAGCACAAAUUGGAAUUUUGAAAAGUCCUGUAUCUUCACCAUGAGCUCAACGGUUUCCCAAUGCUCACUGGCUUUUCUGGUGAGAUAGGGGGUGAUACUAAAUGAUGGGAUGUUGUGUAAUGAGAUGGGUCAACAUUGGAAGAUUUGCAAAACUCAGUGAACCAAUACUUUUCAAAUAACCCAUCCGUGAUGUUUUAAAAAUCAUUCACGGGUGGAAGUCUUAUUAAAGUGAAGGACAGAUCAAUGGAUUUUAUU